CUUGCUACUUUGCCGGCGAGCGGCGGACGGGUGAGUAAUGUCUGGGAAACUGCCUGAUGGAGGGGGAUAACUACUGGAAACGGUAGCUAAUACCGCAUGACCUCGAAAGAGCAAAGUGGGGGAUCUUCGGACCUCACGCCAUCGGAUGUGCCCAGAUGGGAUUAGCUAGUAGGUGAGGUAAUGGCUCACCUAGGCGACGAUCCCUAGCUGGUCUGAGAGGAUGACCAGCCACACUGGAACUGAGACACGGUCCAGACUCCUACGGGAGGCAGCAGUGGGGAAUAUUGCACAAUGGGCGCAAGCCUGAUGCAGCCAUGCCGCGUGUGUGAAGAAGGCCUUAGGGUUGUAAAGCACUUUCAGCGAGGAGGAAGGCAUCACACUUAAUACGUGUGGUGAUUGACGUUACUCGCAGAAGAAGCACCGGCUAACUCCGUGCCAGCAGCCGCGGUAAUACGGAGGGUGCAAGCGUUAAUCGGAAUUACUGGGCGUAAAGCGCACGCAGGCGGUUUGUUAAGUCAGAUGUGAAAUCCCCGAGCUUAACUUGGGAACUGCAUUUGAAACUGGC
rnacentral:rRNA from 1 species